rnacentral:tRNA from 1 species
CAUCAAGAAGCUACAUAGCAUUAACCUUUUAAGUUAAAGAUCGAGAGCAUAAUACUCUCCUUGAUGA